rnacentral:rRNA from 1 species
UAAUAUCCCAUAGAUCAUGAGAUCUGGAAUGACUUAUGGUUCAAAGUUCCGGCGCUUUAGGAUCGGUCUGCGGCCUAUCAGGUAGUAGUGGGUGUAAUGUACCCCCUAGCCUAUUACGGGUAUGGGCCUUGAGAGAGGGAGCCCAGAGUUGGAUUCUGAGACACGAAUCCAGGCCCUACGGGGCGCAGCAGUCGCGAAAACUUCACAAUGGGCGAAAGCCCGAUGAGGGAAUUCCUAGUGCUAGCACUUUUGUGUUAGCUUUUCUUUAGCGUAGAUAACUAGAGGAAUAAGGGCUGGGUAAGACGGGUGCCAGCCGCCGCGGUAAUACCCGCAGCCCGAGUGGUGGUCGAUUUUAUUGAGUCUAAAACGUUCGUAGCCGGUCUGAUAGAUCCUUGGGGUAAUCGGGGGGCUUAACCUUCCGAAUUCCGAGGAGACCGUCAGGCUUGGGAUCGGGAGAGGUAAGAGGUACUUCAGGGGUAGGGGUAAAAUCCUGUAAUCCUUGGAGGACCACCGGUGGCGAAGGCGUCUUACUAAAACGAAUCCGACGGUGAGGGACGACGCCCUAGGUCGCACAAGGGAUUAAAUACCCCGGGUAUCUAGGGUGUAAACGCUGCCAACUUGGUGU